rnacentral:rRNA from 1 species
AACGAACGCUGGCGGCAGGCUUAACACAUGCAAGUCGAGCGCCCCGCAAGGGGAGCGGCAGACGGGUGAGUAACGCGUGGGAAUCUACCGAGCCCUGCGGAAUAGCUCCGGGAAACUGGAAUUAAUACCGCAUACGCCCUACGGGGGAAAGAUUUAUCGGGGUUUGAUGAGCCCGCGUUGGAUUAGCUAGUUGGUGGGGUAAAGGCCUACCAAGGCGACGAUCCAUAGCUGGUCUGAGAGGAUGAUCAGCCACAUUGGGACUGAGACACGGCCCAAACUCCUACGGGAGGCAGCAGUGGGGAAUAUUGGACAAUGGGCGCAAGCCUGAUCCAGCCAUGCCGCGUGAGUGAUGAAGGCCCUAGGGUUGUAAAGCUCUUUCACCGGUGAAGAUAAUGACGGUAACCGGAGAAGAAGCCCCGGCUAACUUCGUGCCAGCCGCCGCAGUAACAC